CGCCCCCUGACGAGACUGACGCUCAGUGCGAAAGCGUGGGGAGCAAACAGGAUUAGAUACCUGGUAGUCCACGCUGUAAACGAUGUCGAUUUGGAGGUUGUGCCCGUGAGGCGUGGCUUCCGGAGCUAACGCGUUAAAUCGACCGCUGGGGAGUACGGCCGCAAGGUUAAAACUCAAAUGAAUUGACGGGGGCCCGCACAAGCGGUGGAGCAUGUGGUUUAAUUCGAUGCAACGCGAAGAACCUUACCUACUCUUGACAUCCAGAGAACUUUCCAGAGAUGGAUUGGUGCCUUCGGGAACUCUGAGACAGGUGCUGCAUGGCUGUCGUCAGCUCGUGUUGUGAAAUGUUGGGUUAAGUCCCGCAACGAGCGCAACCCUUAUCCUUUGUUGCCAGCGGUUCGGCCGGGAACUCAAAGGAGACUGCCAGUGAUAAACUGGAGGAAGGUGGGGAUGACGUCAAGUCAUCAUGGCCCUUACGAGUAGGGCUACACACGUGCUACAAUGGCGUAUACAAAGAGAAGCGACCUCGCGAGAGCAAGCGGACCUCAUAAAGUACGUCGUAGUCCGGAUUGGAGUCUGCAACUCGACUCCAUGAAGUCGGAAUCGCUAGUAAUCGUAGAUCAGAAUGCUACGGUGAAUACGUUCCCGGGCCUUGUACACACCGCCCGUCACACCAUGGGAGUGGGUUGCAAAAGAAGUAGGUAGCUUAACCUUCGGGAGGGCGCUUACCACUUUGUGAUUCAUGACUGGGGUGAAGUCGUAACAAGGUAACCA
rnacentral:rRNA from 1 species